rnacentral:rRNA from 1 species
AGAGGAAGGUCCCCCACAAUGGAACUGAGACACGGUCCAUAGUCUUACGCGAGGCAGCACAGAGGAAUAUUGGUCACAGGGGGGAAGCAUGAACCACCCUCGCCGCGUGCGCGAGGAGGGCCCUUUGGGUUGUAAACCGCUUUUGCAGGGGAGCACUAAGGGGGUUUCGCACCCCCGACGAGGGUUCCCUGAGAAUCAGCACUGGGUAAAUCCGUGCCAGCAGCCGCGGUAAUACGGAGGGAUCGAGCGUUAUUCGGAAUUAUUGGGUUUAAAGGGUAGGUUGGCUGUGAGUCAAAUCAAGGGUGAAAAUCCGUCGGUCAAAGUCGGUUGUGCCAGUGAUAAUGGCGUGUUGGAGUACGGAUGCCGCCGGAGGAAUGAGUGGUGUAGCGGUGAAAUGCAUAGAUAUCACUCAGAACUCCGAUUGCGAAGGCAUCUCACGAAGAGGCAACUGACGCUGAGGCACGAAAGCGUGGGGAUCAAACAGGAUUAGAUACCCUGGUAGUCCACGCAGUAAACGAUGAUGACUAGCUGCCGGCGAUACACUGUCGGUGGCCAAGCGAAAGCGAUAAGUAACCCACCUGGGGAGUACGAUCGCAAGAAUGAAACUCAAAUGAAUUGACGG